GUAAACGGCAGCGCGGGGUAACCUGGCGGCGAGUGGCGAACGGGUGAGUAAUACAUCGGAACGUGCCCUGUGAUGGGGGAUAACUACGCGAAAGCGUAGCUAAUACCGCAUACGACCUACGGGUGAAAGUGGGGGAUCGCAAGACCUCACGUCAUAGGAGCGGCCGAUGGCGGAUUAGCUAGUUGGUGAGGUAAAGGCUUACCAAGGCAACGAUCCGUAGCUGGUCUGAGAGGACGACCAGCCACACUGGGACUGAGACACGGCCCAGACUCCUACGGGAGGCAGCAGUGGGGAAUCUUGGACAAUGGGGGCAACCCUGAUCCAGCAAUGCCGCGUGUGGGAUGAAGGCCUUCGGGUUGUAAACCACUUUUGGCGGGGGCGAAAUAUCGAGUGCUAAUACCAUUCGGUGAUGACGGUACCCGCAGAAUAAGCACCGGCUAACUACGUGCCAGCAGCCGGGG
rnacentral:rRNA from 1 species